rnacentral:rRNA from 1 species
GACGAACGCCGGCGGCGUGCUUAACACAUGCAAGUCGAGCGGUAAGGCCCUUUCGGGGGUACACGAGCGGCGAACGGGUGAGUAACACGUGGGUGACCUGCCCUCAGCUCUGGGAUAAGCCUGGGAAACCGGGUCUAAUACUGGAUAUGACUCCAUGACGCAUGUUGUGGGGUGGAAAGCCUUGUGCGGCUGAGGAUGGGCCCGCGGCCUAUCAGCUUGUUGGUGGGGUGAUGGCCUACCAAGGCGACGACGGGUAGCCGGCCUGAGAGGGCGACCGGCCACACUGGGACUGAGACACGGCCCAGACUCCUACGGGAGGCAGCAGUGGGGAAUCUUGCGCAAUGGGCGAAAGCCUGACGCAGCGACGCCGCGUGAGGGAUGACGGCCU